UCAUGGCUCAGAUUGAACGCUGGCGGCAGGCCUAACACAUGCAAGUCGAGCGGAAACGACACUAACAAUCCUUCGGGUGCGUUAAUGGGCGUCGAGCGGCGGACGGGUGAGUAAUGCCUAGGAAAUUGCCUUGAUGUGGGGGAUAACCAUUGGAAACGAUGGCUAAUACCGCAUAAUGCCUACGGGCCAAAGAGGGGGACCUUCGGGCCUCUCGCGUCAAGAUAUGCCUAGGUGGGAUUAGCUAGUUGGUGAGGUAAUGGCUCACCAAGGCGACGAUCCCUAGCUGGUCUGAGAGGAUGAUCAGCCACACUGGAACUGAGACACGGUCCAGACUCCUACGGGAGGCAGCAGUGGGGAAUAUUGCACAAUGGGCGAAAGCCUGAUGCAGCCAUGCCGCGUGUAUGAAGAAGGCCUUCGGGUUGUAAAGUACUUUCAGUUGUGAGGAAGGGGG
rnacentral:rRNA from 1 species